UAUAGAUCUAGAAUAUGGAAUUUGCAUAAUGACAGAAAAGUGUAUGAUGAUGAUGAGAAAAGCUGAGAAGUGAUGCUGGGGUUGGCCCAUCUAUGCCUCCAAGGAUUUCUUCACAUGCUUACAAGCUGGACCCACAUGAUCUACCAUGUGGACCUUUAUUCUUCAUCUCUAUACCUUUAAACAAAUUUUGGUUUUAUAUAUCUAUGCCUUUAAUUUAUCUAUGUAUGAACUUGCAUAUGAAUCUAAUUAAUGUGUGCGUUUGUGCUCGUGUUUGUGUUUGUGUUUGCGUCACUAUAUCAUGUGUUUCAUAUCCAUCUAGAGCCACAUGCUCGUGAACGAGCGAGCUUGUCUCUCAUCCUCGACUCCUCGUUUAAGUGAUUCAUAUUUU